rnacentral:rRNA from 1 species
CGCGUGGGUAAUCUACCUCCGAAUUGGGGAUAACAUUGCGAAAGCGAUGCUAAUACCGGAUAAUAUCUCUUAAACUUCGGUUAAAGAGAUCAAAGGUGGCCUCUCCUUGGAAGCUACUGUUUGGGGAUGAGCCCGCGUACCAUUAGCUUGUUGGUAGGGUAAAAGCCUACCAAGGCAACGAUGGUUAGCUGGUCUGAGAGGAUGAUCAGCCACACUGGAACUGACACACGGUCCAG